rnacentral:rRNA from 1 species
GACGGGGGUGCAAGCGUUGUUCGGAAUCAUUGGGCGUAAAGCGUGUGCAGGUGGCUCUGCAAGUCAGAUGUGAAAGCCCCGGGCUUAACCCGGGAAGUGCAUUUGAAACUGCAAAGCUUGAGUAUGGAAGAGGGUCGUGGAAUUCCUGGUGUAGUGGUGAAAUACGUAGAUAUCAGGAAGAACACCAAUGGCGAAAGCAGCUCUCUGGGACGGUCACUGACGCUGAGGCGCGAGAGCGUGGGGAGCGAACCGGAUUAGAAACC